rnacentral:rRNA from 1 species
AUUGAACGCUGGCGGAAUGCUUUACACAUGCAAGUCGAACGGUAGAGGGGGCAACCCCUCGAGAGUGGCGAACGGGUGAGUAAUAUAUCGGAACGUGCCCAGUCGUGGGGGAUAACGUAGCGAAAGUUACGCUAAUACCGCAUACGAUCUAAGGAUGAAAGCGGGGGAUCGCAAGACCUCGCGCGAUUGGAGCGGCCGAUAUCAGAUUGGGUAGUUGGUGGGGUAAAGGCCCACCAAGCCAACGAUCUGUAGCUGGUCUGAGAGGACGACCAGCCACACUGGAACUGAGACACGGUCCAGACUCCUACGGGAGGCAGCAGUGGGGAAUUUUGGACAAUGGGCGAAAGCCUGAUCCAGCCAUUCCGCGUGCAGGAUGAAGGCCCUCGGGUUGUAAACUGCUUUUGUACAGAACGAAAAGGUUUCUACUAAUACUAGGAGCUCAUGACGGUACUGUAAGAAUAAGCACCGGCUAACUACGUGCCAGCAGCCGCUGUAA